GCGGCGCGUGUCGCUGUUUCCGGUGUGUUGGCCUCUGGCUUUGUUUUGUUUUGUUUUAGGUUAGAGAUCAGCGAGAUAAAAGAUGGACCCUAAAAGAUGAAGCAAAGAUCAGAAGUGGGCAAGAAACUGUUGCUGGCCAGUACUCACACAUCUAGAUCGUGUACAUCAUUCAGCUCUGCUCCCAUGAAUAUGAUUGACUUAGAGAAGAUUGAAAUUUUGUCCUUCUGUGUAGGCCUGGCUGUUUUCACUUCAUACAAGUUUCUUGUAUGCUGUUGCAAAUGGAAGAGUUUUCUUCCUUUGGUGUGUGGCAGGCUACCUUAUCUUCACCUAUUCAGAGGAGUUUGAUGGAGUCCCAUAGAUUGGUGUAUGCACUUAUUCCUUUUGGGGUAGAUACCCAGUGGUGUCAACAUGUAGUUUCCACAAUGUGUAAGGUUUUCGAGAUUGACCAAGGGAUGAAUAUAUUGGACUAAGGAAUGAACACUUCCAUUCCUGCCCAAGGCUUAAGUGGGAGCCAUGUGCCGCUGUACCUGCUGUGGAAGCCAUGUACCGUUGUACCUGCUGUGGAAGCCAUGUGCCGCUGUACCUGCUGUGGAAGCCAUGUGCCGCUGUACCUGCUGUGGAAGCCAUGUGCUGCUGUACCUGCUGUGUCAUUACCAGAAGAAGCAAGUGGGAGUGACCCAUGAAGACUUGUUCCAAGGCUACAGAAAGCCCAUGAAUCCAGGUACUGGGUAUAAUUGUUGGAUUCCCUCGAAGAAGACCCAGAGAAGCCAUUGCAUGGAGCUGGAAAGAUGAAGCCCAAGUUACAGUAGAGGGACCAGGAUAUUGGAGAUUCUAGAAUUGUACUUAAACACUGAGGAAAGCUGCAAGAACACGGUGGAACAUGCCCAAGACAGAAGUCACAUGUUCUGGAGGUGGCAGAAGUGGAGUGCUGACACUACCCAAAUCUGGACCUUAGGUGAUCCCAUCAUGAGUACUCCAUGCUAGCCAUGGAGCUAUAGGAUUAGGUGUUAGUAUUUUUGUUUCUGCUUUAAUCCCUCCUUUCUUUGCGGUUCUCUCAUUAUUUCCCAUUUAGGGUGGGGAUGCUUCUUCUUUGUUUUGUAUAUUAGAAGUGUUCAACUUGUAUCUUGAUUUCAUAGGUGCUCAAAAUUAAGAGAUGGUCUGAAGUCUCAGAGGAGACUUUAAUUUUUUGAGCAGGGCUGUAACUGUUAAAGACUAUGAGGGCUUUUAGAGAGAGAGACCAAAUGCAUUCUGAGAUGAACAUGAAACUGGGAACCAGGGUAGAGUACUAAGGUGAUAGUUUGGUGUUGGGUUGGCAGGAAGUGGAAUUAUAAUGAUUAAUAUUUGUUGCCAUUUUAACAGGAUUUCGAAUCACCUAGGAGACAGCUCUGUGCUUGUUAUGUAAGUACAGAGCUAGACAGAUUUAUCUUAGAAGGGAAAUCUUCCCUUAAAUAAAUGUUGUGACAUCCAUGAACUGGGAUCCCAGACAGAACAUAAAGGGGAACUGAGAGGAGUGCCAGUGUUCAUCUUCAUCUCAUUCCUCCUGCUGUUCCCCGAGUAUCACGUGCGUGUAUUUCUGUUUGUCUGUUUAUGAGUUCUCCGUUCAUUUCUGGUUUGUGUCUUAUGCUACCCCAGUAGCAAAUCUCAAUAGCUUUAGUCUGUAUAAUAAACUUUAAUAUCUGAUAGAGUGAUUACCCCUAUUUUAUUCAUUUAAAGGUGUUUUGGCUAUUCUAAUUACUUUUCCUUAUUUGUUCUAGAAUAAGCUUGGAUACAUCUACGAGAAAUCUUAUCAAGAUUUUGAUAGUAACUAUUAUUACACUACAUAUACAUACAUAAUUAUGCAAAACUCAUUUUGUGAAAAAAUAACACUUUAACUAUGUUACAUGUUCUCUUUUGAGACAUAUUCUAAGAAGUAAGCUGUCUUCUUUUUUUAAUGUUAU